GAUUCCUACGGGAGGUAGCAGUGGGGAAUCUUCCGCAAUGGGCGCAAGCCUGACGGAGCGAUGCCGCGUGAACGAAGAAGGUCUUCGGAUUGUAAAGUUCUGUCCUUAUCGAAGAGAGGGUAUAGAGAGAGAAAUGAUAUACUAGGACGGUAGAUGAGGAGGAAGCCCCGGCUAACUACGUGCCAGCAGCCGCGGUAAUACGUAGGGGGCGAGCGUUGUCCGGAAUCACUGGGCGGAAA
rnacentral:rRNA from 1 species